rnacentral:rRNA from 1 species
GACGAACGCUGGCGGCGUGCUUAACACAUGCAAGUCGAACGGUAAGGCCCUUCGGGGUACACGAGUGGCGAACGGGUGAGUAACACGUGGGUGAUCUGCCCUGCACUUCGGGAUAAGCCUGGGAAACUGGGUCUAAUACCGGAUAGGACCACUGCCUGCAUGGGUGGUGGUGGAAAGCUUUUGCGGUGUGGGAUGGCCCGCGGCCUAUCAGCUUGUUGGUGGGGUGAUGGCCUACCAAGGCGACGACGGGUAGCCGGCCUGAGAGGGUAACCGGCCACACUGGGACUGAGAUACGGCCCGGACUCCUACGGGAGGCAGCAGUGGGGAAUAUUGCACAAUGGGCGCAAGCCUGAUGCAGCGACGCCGCGUGAGGGAUGACGGCCUUCGGGUUGUAAACCUCUUUCAGCACCGACGAAGCGCAAGUGACGGUAGGUGCAGAAGAAGGACCGGCCAACUACGUGCCAGCAGCCGCCGUAA